rnacentral:sRNA from 2 species
CCCCAUACACCGCUUUAGCUGGUUGGAGCUGGAUUACUCAUCGGCUUCGAGUCAUCAAGAUUUUCAGCUGAAAUAACUAGUUGAACUCGCAAGCAUCUCGAAGGAACAUCUACAACAUAUUGCAUAUUAUAAUAUCCCGAUAUAUGCGCAUUCUCAAAGAUUCUGUUCUAGCAAUAGAAUGCAGCUCAAGAGAUGGAGGUUUCAAACACAAUGGCUAUAUGCUGAUUCAACGAAUGUUCAAUAUAACCAGAUGAAUACUAAUAGUAGUUACAUAUUUUCUGUUUCUCAAUGAGUCAUUUUGUAUUAAAAAUCUACUAAAAUGCAACUUCCCAAAAAAGGAAGAUACAUAUAUAACUAUCGCUUAGAAAACGAGAG